rnacentral:tRNA from 1 species
GGAGAGAUGGCCGAGUUGGUUUAAGGCGUUAGUUUCGAAAACUAAUAUAGAAUGUGUUUUCUAUCGAGGGUUCAAAUCCCUCUCUCUCCG